UGGAGCCAGAGCCGGCCAGCUAGGACCACGCGCAGUGUCCUGGGGCACACAGUCGUCCUCUGGUGAACGAUACAUCUCGGAACCAAGGGACACCCUCUACUUGUAAGGGUCAUGGCGCCUGGACCAAGAAAUUACAUUUCCCAGAAAACUCUGCAGCCGCGCCAAGGUCUUCCGGGUCAUUCCUGCGCUCACACAAACGUUUCCCUCCGGGACGUGGGCAACCCUUGCUGGUACCGCGCAAGUGCUCGCCUUUGCUAGCAAGGGGGUCCCUCUCAUCCCAAACCCUGCUGCUAUGCAGUUCAUCUUCAGAGCUCUUUUUGGUUUUUUUUGGCCCUCAUUUGCCCAAGACGAUACCUGACAAAACGCCCUGUGACCCGACUAUCACGACUGUAGUUCGCCAACCAAGGACAUUUCCUGGAAAUGCAAGGGGACACGUAUCUGUGACGCCAAUGACCGUUCUGACGCGCGUUACGCCCCCUUGAAUUACUUAGAAAUACUGAAUUUGAGUGAGCACUGGGAGAACGGAAACCUUCAUCCUGGGAGGAGUCCCUCCUCCUGCAGCCGUCAGCGCCUGACACCCCGUCUCCCCAGAAGUGCUUCUUAGGCCCUGACCUUGCCCGGCCCACCCAAAGGGGCAACCAACCUCUCUGUAUGCAAGCCGGAGCAGUCUACUCUUUGUGUGUAUUUGGGUUGUUUACUUUCUUUUUAACACUUAAAUGUCAAUUGACUUCACUUAUUUUUAAAAUUAUAAAUAGUGUGGUUAUAGACUUUUUUGUACUUAGUAAGUACUGACCUGCAUGAUCUUGGUGAAGCGGUGCUUCUGUUACCAGAAAGGGGUCCCGGUCCAGACCCCAAGAGAGGGUUCUUAGAUCUCACACAAGAAAAAUCCACGGGAGUCCACAGUGCGAAGACAAAGCAAGUGUAUUAAGACAGUAAAGAAACAAAAGAAUGGGUACUCCACUGUUAGAGCAGCAGCUUGGGCUGCUGGACUAAGGAUACUUGUAGUUAUUGCUUGAUGAUAUGCUAAGCAAGGGGUGAUUAUUCAUGAGUUUUCCAGGAAAGAGGUGGCAAUUUCCCGGAGCCGAGGGCUUCCCCACUUUUUAAACCAUGCAGGGUAACUUCUGAACCUUACUAUGGCAUUUGUAAAUUGUCGUGGCACUGGUGAGAAUGUCUCUUAGCGUGCUAAUGCAUAUAAUUAGCAUAUAACUGAGAGGUGAAGGCAGCUGGGCUUCUGGGUCAGGUGGGGACUUGGAGAACUGUUCUGUCUAG